AACGAACGCUGGCGGCAGGCCUAACACAUGCCAGUCGAGCGAGGACUUCGGUUCUAGCGGCGGACGGGUGAGUAACGCGUGGGAAUGUGCCCUUCUCUACGGAAUAGCCCUGGGAAACUGGGAGUAAUACCGUAUACGCCCUAUUGGGGAAAGAUUUAUCGGAGAAGGAUCAGCCCGCGUUGGAUUAGGUAGUUGGUGGGGUAAUGGCCUACCAAGCCGACGAUCCAUAGCUGGUUUGAGAGGAUGAUCAGCCACACUGGGACUGAGACACGGCCCAGACUCCUACGGGAGGCAGCAGUGGGGAAUCUUAGACAAUGGGGGCAACCCUGAUCGAGCCAUGCCGCGUGAGUGAUGAAGGCCUUAGGGUUGUAAAGCUCUUUCAGCUGGGAAGAUAAUGACGGGACCAGCAGAAGAAGCCCCGGCUAACUCCGUG
rnacentral:rRNA from 1 species